rnacentral:lncRNA from 1 species
CCUCGCUCUCCUGGGCUGCAAGUCAGCGCUAAGCUCAGGAGAGGCUAUAGGCCUGUCCUGUGUUACACAUUUGCUGUUGUCCCUGGGGUGGUGUGAUUAGAAUCGCCUUUCCAUCACUUUCUACUUUCACGGAAGAAAUAUUCUGGGAUGAAGCUUUCUAGUGAAAAAUAACCAUUGGGUCUUCAGGGAACAGCACUUUCUUUUUUGGUACCAGGGAUUGAACUCAGGACCUUGUGUCUGGAAGGCAGGCGCGGCGCCAC